CUAGAUGGGUAUCCCUACAUAGCGGGUGGGACCCACGGCGAAUGGUUCAACAAGUCUUCAAAAAAGAAUAUAUACGAUUGCAUUGCAUAUACUAACGGAUGCGAUCAUACCAGCACUAAUGCACCGGAUCCCAUCAGAACUCCGCAAUUAAGCGUGCUUGGGCGAGAGUAGUACUAGGAUGGGUGACCUCCCGGGAAGUCCUCGUGUUGCAUCCCUCUUUUAUGUUUAACCUUUUUUU
rnacentral:rRNA from 1 species